rnacentral:misc_RNA from 1 species
GGUUGAUCAGGAAUUACAGGUGACGGCAGGAAAUUGACUGGUGGUUGAUCAGGGAAUAUCGGUGACGGAAGAAAGUUGUUUGGUGGUUGAUCAGGAAAAAUCGGUGAAGGCAGAAAAUUGGUCGGUGGUUGAUCAGGAAACAGUGGAGAUGGCAUAAAACUGUUUGGUGGUUGAUCGGGAAUCACUGGCUGGUUAUCUGCUGGCGGAAAAAUAGGGACAAGCGGUGUAGCUGGAGGUAAAUUUUGUUCCGGCGGUGGAAGAGUGAAAAUUGGAGGUGGAGAAAAUAUGGGAAGAAGUGGUGUAGGUGGGGGGAAAUCCUGUUCUGGUGGAGAAAAUAUGGGCACCAGUGGAGUUUCUGGUGGAAAAUCUGGUGGUUGAGGUGUUGGGAGGGGAAAAUCGGGUACCAACGGCGGAGGAGAAAAUAGCGGAAAAUUGGGAGUGUCGUCUGGAUCAGGAGGGGACCACCAAGGGAAGACAGGUUCUGCCGGUGGAGGUGGCGAAGCAACUAGUGGUGGUGGGAAGACAAAGAAUGGCGGAGGUUCUGGCGGAGGUGGGGAAGGAACUAAAGGUGGUGGUGGAAUU